UACAGAGGUCCCAAGCGUUGUUCGGAUUCACUGGGCGUAAAGGGUGCGUAGGUGGCGGGGUAAGUCUGAUGUGAAAGCUUCGAGCUCAACUCGAAAAUGGCAUUGGAUACUAUUCUGCUAGAGGGUUGGAGGGGGGACUGGAAUCUCGGUGUAGCAGUGAAAUGCGUAGAUAUCGAGAGGACACCGGUGGCGAAGGCGGAGUCCCUGGACAACACCUGACACUGGAGGCACGAAAGCUAGGGGAGCAAACAGG
rnacentral:rRNA from 1 species